UAACCCCCAUGAUGUACAGCACUGGGCUCUGACCACCCUGAUGACAUGGUGCAAGCCUCCAGGACCUUUGACAUCUGGGGGUCUGAGGGGUUU
rnacentral:snoRNA from 1 species